ensembl:lncRNA
CGACUGGCAGGCUGAAACUUAUAAAUAAUUAUCAGUUGGUGCGGCCAGAGCAAGUGAAAGCAAAAAUAUGAGAGAUUGGUUUUUGUUUGAGGGAAAUUAUGCUUACCUGUAUGUAAACGUCGGCUAAUGCAUCAAUGACAACAAAAAAAUUGUUAACUUGUUUUUCUUACCCACAGCUAAGAGUAGUUUCUGUACGUCACACACAAUGGAUGAUCAAAGAGAAUCAAAUGUUUGAAACCUUUAUCAUUCUGCUUCUGUUCAAUUCUACUAUUGUGAUCGUUGUUCAUUUUGGUCAAUAUCAGUGUACAUAUGAAUAUAUAAUCAUAUUCAGCAUCUGACCCAAUGUCUAGCAACUGUUUCACUCCAGUUUACUCCCCCCUCCACCUUCUUUAAGUUUCAUUUCUCCUCUGCAUAUCCAGGCUGUUUAUUUCUAAACUACUUUCACCAGGAAACUCCCUCAGUCUGACAAGCUGUGUAACCUUUCACUUUAUCAAUCAUUCCCUGCUGCUCACCUGAGAGAGAGGAUCUCCUUGAAGUUCUAAAGCCAGUGAAUCCUCCAGGAUGCCCAGCCUGUGGAUAUGGUUGAGUCUGCUCUAUGCUCUACAAAGCAGUGUCUCAUCAGAUGAGGGAGUGUCACUGAAUUGCAACAAUACAGUGGAAGUUAAAGCUGGAGAAACUGUGACACUGAAUUGCACCAUCGAGCUGAAAGAAGGUCAACAGAACUGUGGCGUUCUAACAGUUAACUGGACGUCUACAAAUGACAAGAAUCUAUGUACCAAUGCCUCAUUGGUACAUAGAUACUCAUGUAUGUCGGAUAAUGAGACUUAUGUGGCGCUGACCAUCACAAAUGUCACGAAAGAGGAAGAUAUCACAGUUAAAAUGCGUGCAAAAUGUGGUAUGGAUGACUCACCUAUCAAAGUAAAGCUCACUGGUGAAAGCAACACAUUGCACUCUAAGGAGGAUCAGGAGCGCAGGGAGGAAGAUAUAAAGUUAGCUCUGUCUGUCAUAUUUGGUGUUUUUGCCGCUGCCAUUGUUGUAGUCAUGUUGUAUUUAUUAUUUAAAACUGACCGAUGCAGAAAAAUCAUUAAGCCUGCCGAUGACCGUGGAAGUUAUUCCUCAACACCACAAGCUUAGUGGCCUCAUGUUUCUAAAAAUCUUCUAAUUUGUGUGUUUGUUGUUUUGUUUUGUUUAGUUUUUUUUUUUUACCUUUUCUGUGACAUUUUUAGAAUUCUUUUGACAUCUUUGUACAGAUUGAAUCAUGUCUGUACAGUAUGAGGAUUUGUGUUUGUACAGUUUGAAUCAUAUAAAUAUGAUGAAUUGAUUUGAAUAAAAGAGAACUCCUG